rnacentral:rRNA from 1 species
CCUACGGGUGGCUGCAGUGGGGGAUAUUGCACAAUGGGGGAAACCCUGAUGCAGCGACGCCGCGUGAGUGAAGAAGUAUUUCGGUAUGUAAAGCUCUAUCAGCAGGGAAGAAAAUGACAGUACCUGAUCAAGAAGCCACGGCUAACUACGUGCCAGCAGCCGCGGUAAUACGUAGGGGGCAAGGGUUAUCCGGAUUUACGGGGUGGAAAGGGAGCGUAGACGGGUAUGUAAGUCGGGCGUGAAAGCCCGGGGCCCAACCCCGGGACUGCUUUGGAAACUGUGUAACUGGAGUACAGGAGAGGCAGGCGGAAUUCCUGGUGUAGGGGUGAAAUGCGUAGAUAUCAGGAGGAACACCGGCGGCGAAGGCGGCCUGCUGGAAUGAAACUGACGUUGAGGCGCGAAAGCGUGGGGAGCAAACAGGAUUAGAUACCCGUGUAGUC